CUUAGUGGCAGACGGGUGAGUAACAUGUGGGUAUCUACCCUUUGGCCUGGAAUAACACGAGGAAACUUGUGCUAAUACCGGAUAAGUCUUUACAGAGAAAGCUUUAUGCACCAUUGGAUGAGCCCGCACUUGAUUAGUUUGUUGGUAGGGUAAUGGCCUACCAAGACUAUGAUCAAUAGCUGAUUUGAGAGGAUGAUCAGCCACAUUGGGACUGAGACACGGCCCAAACUCCUACGGGAGGCAGCAGUGGGGAAUCUUGCACAAUGGAGGAAACUCUGAUGCAGCGAUGCCGCGUGAGUGAAGAAGGCCUUUGGGUUGUAAAGCUCUUUCGUCGGGGAAGAAAAUGACUGUACCCGAAUAAGAAGGUCCGGCUAACUUCGUGCCAGCAGCCGCGGUAAUACGAAGGGACCUAGCGUAGUUCGGAAUUACUGGGCUUAAAGAGUUCGUAGGUGGUUGAAAAAGUUGGUGGUGAAAUCCCAGAGCUUAACUCUGGAACUGCCAUCAAAACUUUUCAGCUA
rnacentral:rRNA from 1 species